rnacentral:rRNA from 1 species
AACGAACGCUGGCGGCAUGCCUAACACAUGCAAGUCGAACGAUUGCCUUCGGGUGAUAGUGGCGCACGGGUGCGUAACGCGUGGGAAUCUGCCCUUAGGUUCGGAAUAACAGCUGGAAACGGCUGCUAAUGCCGGAUGAUAUCGCGAGAUCAAAGAUUUAUCGCCUGAGGAUGAGCCCGCGUUGGAUUAGGUAGUUGGUGGGGUAAAGGCCUACCAAGCCGACGAUCCAUAGCUGGUCUGAGAGGAUGAUCAGCCACACUGGGACUGAGACACGGCCCAGACUCCUACGGGAGGCAGCAGUGGGGAGUAUUGGACAAUGGGCGCAAGCCUGAUCCAGCAAUGCCGCGUGAGUGAUGAAGGCCCUAGGGUUGUAAAGCUCUUUUACCCGGGAAGAUAAUGACUGUACCGGGAGAAUAAGCCCCGGCUAACUCCGUG